rnacentral:lncRNA from 1 species
CACUGGUGUAUUCCGUCCAAGUGAUGAACUUUCUCAAGACACUAAUCUCAAAGACCCUACGAGAAAGAGAGUAUUCAAUGGUAGAGCCUACAGAGGCAUCCUAUCUGGAGCCUUUUGAUGAUGAUGGAGAUCAGAGGCCUUCCAUCUCCUGCAUUACAUAUACCCAAAAAGAUAAUGAAGAGAAAGAGACCGCAUUUAUAGCUCAAGAACCUUUAGGAGCAAGUUUCAGGAACUAUAGUCAAAACAAUGAGACGGCAGAUGGAGAAGAACACAGUCCCAUACCCUCGGACUACAAACAGAUCUCCGCUGAAAAUACUCCAACUCCGGCUAGAAAUAAUGAUAUUGGUGAGUCAAGUAAUUCAAGUCCGGGGAACAAAAUCAAUCCAUACUUGCUAUUGACAAAGCCAAAGGAAUACGCAACCUGAGCCGCAUAGAUUCA